GGAGAGGUGGCAGAGUGGUCGAAUGCACCGGUCUUGAAAACCGGAGUGCCAGAAAUGGUACCGCGAGAUCGAAUCUCGCCCUCUCCG
rnacentral:tRNA from 1 species